GGGUUGUGAGGUUAAGCGACUAAGCGUACACGGUGGAUGCCCUGGCAGUCAGAGGCGAUGAAGGGCGUGCUAAUCUGCGAUAAGCGCCGGUAAGGUGAUAUGAACCGUUAUAACCGGCGAUACCCGAAUGGGGAAACCCAGUGUGAUUCGUCACACUAUCAUUAACUGAAUCCAUAGGUUAAUGAGGCGAACCGGGGGAACUGAAACAUCUAAGUACCCCGAGGAAAAGAAAUCAACCGAGAUUCCCCCAGUAGCGGCGAGCGAACGGGGAGGAGCCCAGAGCCUGAAUCAGCAUGUGUGUUAGUGGAAGCGUCUGGAAAGGCGCGCGAUACAGGGUGACAGCCCCGUACACAAAAGCGCAUGUGCUGUGAGCUCGAUGAGUAGGGCGGGACACGUGGUAUCCUGUCUGAAUAUGGGGGGACCAUCCUCCAAGGCUAAAUACUCCUGACUGACCGAUAGUGAACCAGUACCGUGAGGGAAAGGCGAAAAGAACCCCGGCGAGGGGAGUGAAAAAGAACCUGAAACCGUGUACGUACAAGCAGUGGGAGCACCCUUUGGGUGUGACUGCGUACCUUUUGUAUAAUGGGUCAGCGACUUAUAUUCUGUAGCAAGGUUAACCGAAUAGGGGAGCCGGAGGGAAACCGAGUCUUAAUUGGGCGUUAAGUUGCAGGGUAUAGACCCGAAACCCGGUGAUCUAGCCAUGGGCAGGUUGAAGGUUGGGUAACACUAACUGGAGGACCGAACCGACUAAUGUUGAAAAAUUAGCGGAUGACCUGUGGCUGGGGGUGAAAGGCCAAUCAAACCGGGAGAUAGCUGGUUCUCCCCGAAAGCUAUUUAGGUAGCGCCUCGUGAAUUCAUCUCCGGGGGUAGAGCACUGUUUCGGCUAGGGGGCCAUCCCGGCUUACCAACCCGAUGCAAACUGCGAAUACCGGAGAAUGUUAUCACGGGAGACACACGGCGGGUGCUAACGUCCGUCGUGAAGAGGGAAACAACCCAGACCGCCAGCUAAGGUCCCAAAGUCAUGGUUAAGUGGGAAACGAUGUGGGAAGGCCCAGACAGCCAGGAUGUUGGCUUAGAAGCAGCCAUCAUUUAAAGAAAGCGUAAUAGCUCACUGGUCGAGUCGGCCUGCGCGGAAGAUGUAACGGGGCUAAACCAUGCACCGAAGCUGCGGCAGCGACGCUUAUGCGUUGUUGGGUAGGGGAGCGUUCUGUAAGCCUGCGAAGGUGGCCUGUGAGGGUUGCUGGAGGUAUCAGAAGUGCGAAUGCUGACAUAAGUAACGAUAAAGCGGGUGAAAAGCCCGCUCGCCGGAAGACCAAGGGUUCCUGUCCAACGUUAAUCGGGGCAGGGUGAGUCGACCCCUAAGGCGAGGCCGAAAGGCGUAGUCGAUGGGAAACGGGUUAAUAUUCCCGUACUUGGUGUUACUGCGAAGGGGGGACGGAGAAGGCUAUGUUGGCCGGGCGACGGUUGUCCCGGUUUAAGCGUGUAGGUGUGUGUUCCAGGUAAAUCCGGUUCACUUUAACACUGAGGCGUGACGACGAGGCACUACGGUGCUGAAGCAACAAAUGCCCUGCUUCCAGGAAAAGCCUCUAAGCAUCAGGUAACAUCAAAUCGUACCCCAAACCGACACAGGUGGUCAGGUAGAGAAUACCAAGGCGCUUGAGAGAACUCGGGUGAAGGAACUAGGCAAAAUGGUGCCGUAACUUCGGGAGAAGGCACGCUGACACGUAGGUGAAGUGAUUUACUCAUGGAGCUGAAGUCAGUCGAAGAUACCAGCUGGCUGCAACUGUUUAUUAAAAACACAGCACUGUGCAAACACGAAAGUGGACGUAUACGGUGUGACGCCUGCCCGGUGCCGGAAGGUUAAUUGAUGGGGUCAGCGCAAGCGAAGCUCCUGAUCGAAGCCCCGGUAAACGGCGGCCGUAACUAUAACGGUCCUAAGGUAGCGAAAUUCCUUGUCGGGUAAGUUCCGACCUGCACGAAUGGCGUAAUGAUGGCCAGGCUGUCUCCACCCGAGACUCAGUGAAAUUGAACUCGCUGUGAAGAUGCAGUGUACCCGCGGCAAGACGGAAAGACCCCGUGAACCUUUACUAUAGCUUGACACUGAACAUUGAGCCUUGAUGUGUAGGAUAGGUGGGAGGCUUUGAAGUGUGGACGCCAGUCUGCAUGGAGCCGACCUUGAAAUACCACCCUUUAAUGUUUGAUGUUCUAACGUGGACCCGUUACCCGGGUUGCGGACAGUGUCUGGUGGGUAGUUUGACUGGGGCGGUCUCCUCCUAAAGAGUAACGGAGGAGCACGAAGGUUGGCUAAUCCUGGUCGGACAUCAGGAGGUUAGUGCAAUGGCAUAAGCCAGCUUGACUGCGAGCGUGACGGCGCGAGCAGGUGCGAAAGCAGGUCAUAGUGAUCCGGUGGUUCUGAAUGGAAGGGCCAUCGCUCAACGGAUAAAAGGUACUCCGGGGAUAACAGGCUGAUACCGCCCAAGAGUUCAUAUCGACGGCGGUGUUUGGCACCUCGAUGUCGGCUCAUCACAUCCUGGGGCUGAAGUAGGUCCCAAGGGUAUGGCUGUUCGCCAUUUAAAGUGGUACGCGAGCUGGGUUUAGAACGUCGUGAGACAGUUCGGUCCCUAUCUGCCGUGGGCGCUGGAGAACUGAGGGGGGCUGCUCCUAGUACGAGAGGACCGGAGUGGACGCAUCACUGGUGUUCGGGUUGUCAUGCCAAUGGCACUGCCCGGUAGCUAAAUGCGGAAGAGAUAAGUGCUGAAAGCAUCUAAGCACGAAACUUGCCCCGAGAUGAGUUCUCCCUGAGACUUAAAGUCUCCUGAAGGAACGUUGAAGACGACGACGUUGAUAGGCCGGGUGUGUAAGCGCAGCGAUGCGUUGAGCUAACCGGUACUAAUGAACCGUGAGGCUUAACCUUACAACGCCGAAG
rnacentral:rRNA from 2 species